UUGUUUGUUUGCGGGAGCUCUGCUGAGAUUCAAAAUGUCAUUAUACCAUCGCGUAUAGUGAUAUUGAGAACCGCUUGAACCUGAUCAUGGUAAUGCAUGCGUGAGGGAAAAACAAAUAUAAGACUG
rnacentral:ncRNA from 1 species